rnacentral:rRNA from 1 species
GACGAACGCUGGCGGCGUGCUUAACACAUGCAAGUCGAACGGUGAAGCUCCAGCUUGCUGGAGUGGAUCAGUGGCGAACGGGUGAGUAACACGUGAGCAACCUGCCCCUGACUCUGGAAUAAGCGCUGGAAACGGCGUCUAAUACGGGAUACGAGAAGGGUCGGCUUGGGCACUUUUUGAAAAGUUUUUCGGUUGGGGAUGGGCUCGCGGCCUAUCAGCUUGUUGGUGAGGUAAUGGCUCACCAAGGCGACGACGGGUAGCCGGCCUGAGAGGGCGACCGGCCACACUGGGACUGAGACACGGCCCAGACUCCUACGGGAGGCAGCAGUGGGGAAUAUUGCACAAUGGGCGAAAGCCUGAUGCAGCGACGCCGCGUGAGGGAUGACGGCCUUCGGGUUGUAAACCUCUUUCAGCAGGGAAGAAGCGAAAGUGACGGUACCUGCAGAAGAAGCACCGGCUAACUACGUG